GAUCAUGGCUCAGGAUGAACGCUAGCUACAGGCUUAACACAUGCAAGUCGAGGGGCAGCAUGACCUAGCAAUAGGUUGAUGGCGACCGGCGCACGGGUGAGUAACACGUAUCCAACCUACCGGUUAUUCCGGGAUAGCCUUUCGAAAGAAAGAUUAAUACCGGAUAGUAUAACGAGAAGGCAUCUUUUUGUUUAUUUAAAGUAAAUUACGUAUAACCGAACUAGGGAGGUGGCGUUCCGUACUUAGUUUAGUUUGGUCGGGGUACGGGACCCGGACCC
rnacentral:rRNA from 1 species